UUUACAUACCCCCAAAUUAAUCAAAUCUUGAAAUUUGUCUUGUUCAGUAUUAAUACACAUGCAUGGAAGACCUUGUUUUUUAUUUAACGUUUAGAUUAAUGCGAGUUUUUUUUUUCUCUUCUUUUUUAAUAGGUUAAUGCAAGUGGUUCAGUUCAGAACAAAGGUUGGACUCUUGAAACUGUCGACCAUAAGGAUUCCAAGGAGCCUGAGGUAUUGAGAAUCAGGGGUUUUAAAUUUAACAAAGUUGAUCAGCUAGAAGCAAAAUACACCGAGCCUGGCAAGUUUACCCUCAAGCCUUGAACCUGCAUCUGCUCUUAAGAAAUUUUAGCCUCUCAUCUAGAGAAGAUUCAUAUAAGUAUUGUUGGAAGUGAGAGAGUUAGAAGGUGGAGCUUCCUUGCGGCAUCGCCACAUUCAGAGUCUCAAUUGAAAUCAGGGGGCAGGCAGGAUUCUUAUGAAGAAGAAGCUAUUGAACUUACAGCGGAGGGACUGGAUACCAUUGAAGCAAUUGAUUGUGUUUUAGGAUCAUCUUGGAGUUUCCUUUUGGGAACUUGAUUCCAAGUAUACUGGGUUAGUAUGAUGCAAUCAAAUACUUCAAUGUUUCCUUUUGAAUUGAGAGGUGAAAAGGUUUGAUUAAGGCCUGUCUGUGAAAUCUUUGUCAUGUUUGGAUCAGGAAUUGUUAUUAGUAGCUAGUGCUCUUCUUUGUUCUGUUUUAUUAAGCUCUGACACAGUGAAAUCAUAAUUAAGCAUUUAUGGUUGAGUAGAGACGGGUUCUAAACAUCAUUGUCCACUUGA